UGGGGAAUCUUGCACAAUGGGGGAAACCCUGAUGCAGCGACGCCGCGUGAGUGAUGAAGCCCUUCGGGGUGUAAAGCUCUUUCGGCAGGGACGAUAAUGACGGUACCUGAAGAAGAAGCUGCGGCUAACUACGUGCCAGCAGCCGCGGUAAUACGUAGGCAGCGAGCGUUGUUCGGAGUUACUGGGCGUAAAGAGUGCGUAGGCGGUUUUCUAAGUUUGGUGUGAAAUCUCCCGGCUCAACUGGGAGGGUGCGCCGAAGACUGGAAGGCUAGAGUAUGGGAGAGGUAAGCGGAAUUCCUGGUGUAGCGGUGAAAUGCGUAGAUAUCAGGAGGAACACCUGCGGUGUAGACGGCUUACUGGACCAUCACUGACGCUGAGGCACGAAAGCGUGGGUAGCAAACAGG
rnacentral:rRNA from 1 species